GACGAACGCUGGCGGCGUGCUUAACACAUGCAAGUCGAGCGGUAAGGCCCUUUCGGGGGUACACGAGCGGCGAACGGGUGAGUAACACGUGGGUGACCUGCCCUCAGCUCUGGGAUAAGCCUGGGAAACUGGGUCUAAUACUGGAUAUGACUCCACGGUGCAUGUCGUGGGGUGGAAAGCCUUGUGCGGCUGAGGAUGGGCCCGCGGCCUAUCAGCUUGUUGGUGGGGUGANGGCCUACCAAGGCGACGACGGGUAGCCGGCCUGAGAGGGCGACCGGCCACACUGGGACUGAGACACGGCCCAGACUCCUACGGGAGGCAGCAGGUGGGGAAUCUUGCGCAAUGGGCGAAAGCCUGACGCAGCGACGCCGCGUGGAGGGAUGACGG
rnacentral:rRNA from 1 species